rnacentral:rRNA from 1 species
UAAGGAAUAUUGGUCAAUGGGCGCAAGCCUGAACCAGCCAUCCAGCGUGCAGGAAGAAGGCCCUAUGGGUUGUAAACUGCUUUUGUCAGGGAAUAAACCUCUUUAUUUAUAGAGAGCUGAAGGUACCUGAAGAAUAAGCACCGGCUAACUCCGUGCCAGCAGCCGCGGUAAUACGGAGGGUGCGAGCGUUAUCCGGAAUUACUGGGUUUAAAGGGUGCGUAGGCGGCUUUGUAAGUCAGGAGUGAAAGUUUGCGGCUCAACCGUAAAAUUGCUUUUGAUACUGCGAGGCUAGAAUUAGGAUGAGGUCAGCGGAAUGUGGCAUGUAGCGGUGAAAUGCAUAGAUAUGCCAUAGAACACCAAUUGCGAAGGCAGCUGGCUAGACCUGGAUUGACGCUGAGGCACGAAAGCGUGGGGAGCGAACAG